rnacentral:rRNA from 1 species
CCUACGGGUGGCAGCAGUGGGGAAUAUUGGGCAAUGGGCGCAAGCCUGACCCAGCAACGCCGCGUGAAGGAAGAAGGCUUUCGGGUUGUAAACUUCUUUUGUCAGGGACGAAGCAAGUGACGGUACCUGACGAAUAAGCCACGGCUAACUACGUGCCAGCAGCCGCGGUAAUACGUAGGUGGCAAGCGUUAUCCGGAUUUACUGGGUGUAAAGGGCGUGUAGGCGGGACUGCAAGUCAGAUGUGAAAACCACGGGCUCAACCUGUGGCCUGCAUUUGAAACUGUAGUUCUUGAGUGUCGGAGAGGUAAUCGGAAUUCCUUGUGUAGCGGUGAAAUGCGUAGAUAUAAGGAAGAACACCAGUGGCGAAGGCGGAUUACUGGACGAUAACUGACGGUGAGGCGCGAAAGCGUGGGGAGCAAACAGGAUUAGAUACCCUUGUAGUC